CUAAAUAGUCUUUUAAAAAGCUACGAAUAUCUACAUCGGUGGU
rnacentral:antisense_RNA from 1 species